rnacentral:rRNA from 1 species
GUCCACGCCCUAAACGAUGAUAACUCGUUGUUGGCGAUACACAGUCAGCGACUAAGCGAAAGCAUUAAGUUAUCCACCUGGGGAGUACGACCGCAAGGUUGAAACUCAAAGGAAUUGACGGGGCCCGCACAAGCGGAGGAGCAUGUGGUUUAAUUCGAUGAUACGCGAGGAACCUUACCUGGGCUUGAAAGUUAGUGACAUUCUGUGAAAGCAGAACUUCCGCAAGGACACGAAACUAGGUGCUGCAUGGCUGUCGU